UGGUUCAGUGGUAGAAUCCUCGCCUGCCACGCGGGGGGCCCGGGGUUCGAUUCCCGG
rnacentral:tRNA from 1 species